rnacentral:rRNA from 1 species
GCAAGUCGAACGAGUUCUGAUUAUUGAAAGGUGCUUGCAUCUUGAUUUAAUUUUGAACGAGUGGCGGACGGGUGAGUAACACGUGGGUAACCUGCCCUUAAGUGGGGGAUAACAUUUGGAAACAGAUGCUAAUACCGCAUAAAUCCAAGAACCGCAUGGUUCUUGGCUGAAAGAUGGCGUAAGCUAUCGCUUUUGGAUGGACCCGCGGCGUAUUAGCUAGUUGGUGAGGUAACGGCUCACCAAGGCAAUGAUACGUAGCCGAACUGAGAGGUUGAUCGGCCACAUUGGGACUGAGACACGGCCCAAACUCCUACGGGAGGCAGCAGUAGGGAAUCUUCCACAAUGGACGCAAGUCUGAUGGAGCAACGCCGCGUGAGUGAAGAAGGCUUUCGGGUCGUAAAACUCUGUUGUUGGAGAAGAAUGGUCGGCAGAGUAACUGUUGUCGGCGUGACGGUAUCCAACCAGAAAGCCACGGCUAACUACGUGCCAGCAGCCGCGGUAAUACGUAGGUGGCAAGCGUUAUCCGGAUUUAUUGGGCGUAAAGCGAGCGCAGGCGGUUUUUUAAGUCUGAUGUGAAAGCCCUCGGCUUAACCGAGGAAGUGCAUCGGAAACUGGGAAACUUGAGUGCAGAAGAGGACAGUGGAACUCCAUGUGUAGCGGUGAAAUGCGUAGAUAUAUGGAAGAACACCAGUGGCGAAGGCGGCUGUCUGGUCUGUAACUGACGCUGAGGCUCGAAAGCAUGGGUAGCGAACAGGAUUAGAUACCCUGGUAGUCCAUGCCGUAAACGAUGAAUGCUAGGUGUUGGAGGGUUUCCGCCCUUCAGUGCCGCAGCUAACGCAUUAAGCAUUCCGCCUGGGGAGUACGACCGCAAGGUUGAAACUCAAAGGAAUUGACGGGGGCCCGCACAAGCGGUGGAGCAUGUGGUUUAAUUCGAAGCAACGCGAAGAACCUUACCAGGUCUUGACAUCUUUUGAUCACCUGAGAGAUCAGGUUUCCCCUUCGGGGGCAAAAUGACAGGUGGUGCAUGGUUGUCGUCAGCUCGUGUCGUGAGAUGUUGGGUUAAGUCCCGCAACGAGCGCAACCCUUAUGACUAGUUGCCAGCAUUUAGUUGGGCACUCUAGUAAGACUGCCGGUGACAAACCGGAGGAAGGUGGGGAUGACGUCAAAUCAUCAUGCCCCUUAUGACCUGGGCUACACACGUGCUACAAUGGAUGGUACAACGAGUUGCGAGACCGCGAGGUCAAGCUAAUCUCUUAAAGCCAUUCUCAGUUCGGACUGUAGGCUGCAACUCGCCUACACGAAGUCGGAAUCGCUAGUAAUCGCGGAUCAGCACGCCGCGGUGAAUACGUUCCCGGGCCUUGUACACACCGCCCGUCACACCAUGAGAGUUUGUAACACCCGAAGCCGGUGGCGUAACCCUUUUAGGGAGCGAGCCGUC